UACAGAGGUCCCAAGCGUUGUUCGGAUUCACUGGGCGUAAAGGGUGCGUAGGCGGCGGGGUAAGUUUGAUGUGAAAUCUCCGGGCUCAACCCGGAAACUGCAUUGAAUACUAUUCUGCUGGAGGUUUGGAGGGGGGACUGGAAUUCUCGGUGUAGCAGUGAAAUGCGUAGAUAUGGAGAGGAACACCAGUGGCGAAGGCGAGUCCCUGGACAACACCUGACGCUGAGGCACGAAAGCUAGGGGAGCAAACAGG
rnacentral:rRNA from 1 species